GUCCUAUAAAAAUGUAGUUCCAAAUCUAUGCAUGUCCACCUCUAAAAUAUUUGUAAUAUAAGUUUUCAUCUAAAUUCUAAUUAAAAGUGUCAAAUAUAUAUAACAUAAGUCAAGAUUUAUUUUGUUAAUACAUCAACUAGAGACUAGCAACUGUUAAGCAUGUAAUCAAAAUGAGUGGCAUCCAUUUAUCAUCUAAUGA
rnacentral:lncRNA from 1 species